CUGCAAAUAACUGCAAAUUGAAAGAUUGCAAACUAAUACAAAGACUACAAGGACACUCUAAAGAAGCAUUUCUUAUAUUUAACUUCUCAAUGGGCACAAAUAUGGAGGUCAUGCUGGCUUGCAAGUUUUCAAAAAUUGUCAGAGCUAACACAUAAGUUCUAGUGUGAAAUAAAAUCUCCUCAAGAGAAGACUAUAAGAUCCAAAGUACUUAUUUUGAUUUCCUUACUAUCUUGGAUACAUGGGAACUGAAUUAAAUAACAGGAAGCUACAGAAUAUGAACA